UCUUAUGGAUGAGCAAAGAAAAUGAUUUCUUGAGGUGGAAAGUAAUCCUGGUGAAGAUUCUAUGAA
rnacentral:pre_miRNA from 1 species